UACGAAGGGGGCUAGCGUUGUUCGGAAUCACUGGGCGUAAAGGGCGCGUAGGCGGCCGAUCAAGUCGGGGGUGAAAGCCUGUGGCUCAACCACAGAAUUGCCUUCGAUACUGUUUGGCUUGAGACCGGAAGAGGUAAGUGGAACUGCGAGUGUAGAGGUGAAAUUCGUAGAUAUUCGCAAGAACACCAGUGGCGAAGGCGGCUUACUGGCCUGCUCUUGACGCUGAGGCGCGAAAGCUAGGGUAGCAAACGGG
rnacentral:rRNA from 1 species